UUUAAUAUUUUAAAUUGAUUAAGAUCUCUUAAAAUGAAAGAAUAACACAAUUAAUUAUUAUUAGUACUUAGUGAAUACAAUGGUUUGAUUUCCUAAAAUUGUUGCCCUAAAUUAGUGGGUUCUCCCAAAUUUGUCAUCACCCAUCGUUCUACUUUCUCAAUUCUGGAAAACUAUAAAAAAAAAAAUUAUUGCCCUCAAUUGUAGUGAUUUCAUUUUUCUUUUCAUACAUAACCAAAGAAUGAAAAGAUUCUUAAAGAGUCUCAGCUCUAAAAGUGCAUGAUAAAUACCAAAGUCUAAUACUAAGAGGAAAUUAAGUGAAGUCUCCCUACACAAACUAUGGAAAGGUGUCUAUAACUUUCCCCAGGACCUAUCCCC
rnacentral:lncRNA from 1 species